AAGGUACCUGGUGAAUAAGCCACGGCUAACUACGUGCCAGCAGCCGCGGUAAUACGUAGGUGGCAAGCGUUGUCCGGAUUUAUUGGGUUUAAAGGGUGCGUAGGCGGUCCAUUAAGUCAGUGGUGAAAUACGGCAGCUUAACUGUCGAGGUGCCAUUGAUACUGGAGGACUUGAGUACAGACGAGGUAGGCGGAAUUGACGGUGUAGCGGUGAAAUGCUUAGAUAUCGUCAAGAACACCGAUAGCGAAGGCAGCUUACUAGACUGUAACUGACGCUGAGGCACGAAAGUGUGGGGAUCAAACAGGAUUAGAUACCCUGGUAGUCCACACUGUAAACGAUGAUUACUCGAUGUUGGCGAUACACAGCCAGCGUCUUAGCAAAAGCGAUAAGUAAUCCACCUGGGGAGUACGCCCGCAAGGGUGAAACUCAAAGGAAUUGACGAGGGUCCGCACAAGCGGUGGAGCAUGUGGUUUAAUUCGAUGAUACGCGAGGAACCUUACCUGGGCUAGAAUGCCCUUGACAGAUUCAGAGAUGGAUUUUUUUCGCAAGA
rnacentral:rRNA from 1 species